AGAGUUUGAUCCUGGCUCAGGAUGAACGCUGGCGGCGUGCUUAACACAUGCAAGUCGAACGGACUCAUACUGAAACCUAGUGAUUUAUGAGUUAGUGGCGGACGGGUGAGUAACGCGUGGAAAACCUGCCGUAUACCGGGGGAUAACACUUAGAAAUAGGUGCUAAUACCGCAUAAGCGCACAGCUUCGCAUGAGGCAGUGUGAAAAACUCCGGUGGUAUACGAUGGUUCCGCGUCUGAUUAGCUAGUUGGCGGGGUAACGGCCCACCAAGGCAGCGAUCAGUAGCCGGCCUGAGAGGGUGAACGGCCACAUUGGGACUGAGACACGGCCCAAACUCCUACGGGAGGCAGCAGUGGGGAAUAUUGCACAAUGGGGGAAACCCUGAUGCAGCGACGCCGCGUGAGUGAAGAAGUAUUUCGGUACGUAAAGCUCUAUCAGCAGGGAAGAAAAUGACGGUACCUGACCAAGAAGCCCCGGCUAACUACGUGCCAGCAGCCGCGGUAAUACGUAGGGGGCAAGCGUUAUCCGGAUUUACUGGGUGUAAAGGGAGCGUAGACGGCAGCGCAAGUCUGGAGUGAAAUGCCGGGGCCCAACCCCGGAACUGCUUUGGAAACUGUGCAGCUUGAGUGCAGGAGAGGUAAGCGGAAUUCCUAGUGUAGCGGUGAAAUGCGUAGAUAUUAGGAGGAACACCAGUGGCGAAGGCGGCUUACUGGACUGUAACUGACGUUGAGGCUCGAAAGCGUGGGGAGCAAACAGGAUUAGAUACCCUGGUAGUCCACGCCGUAAACGAUGAUUACUAGGUGUCGGGGGACCAAGGUGCUCCGGUGCCGGCGCAAACGCAUUAAGUAAUCCACCUGGG
rnacentral:rRNA from 1 species